rnacentral:rRNA from 1 species
CGCGGCCUAUCAGCUUGUUGGUGAGGUAGUGGCUUACCAAGGCGACGACGGGUAGCCGGCCUGAGAGGGUGACCGGCCACACUGGGACUGAGACACGGCCCAGACUCCUACGGGAGGCAGCGGUGGGGAAUAUUGCACAAUGGGCGCAAGCCUGAUGCAGCGACGCCGCGUGAGGGAUGAAGGCCUUCGGGUUGUAAACCUCUUUCGUCAGGGAAGAAGCGAAAGUGACGGUACCUGAAGAAGAAGCACCGGCUAACUACGUGCCAGCAGCCGCGGUAAUACGUAGGGUGCGAGCGUUGUCCGGAAUUAUUGGGCGUAAAGAGCUUGUAGGCGGUUUGUCGCGUCUGCCGUGAAAACCUAGGGCUUAACUCUGGGCGUGCGGUGGGUACGGGCAGGCUAGAGUGUGGUAGGGGAGACUGGAAUUCCUGGUGUAGCGGUGAAAUGCGCAGAUAUCAGGAGGAACACCGAUGGCGAAGGCAGGUCUCUGGGCCAUAACUGACGCUGAGAAGCGAAAGCAUGGGGAGCGAACAGGAUUAGAUACCCUGGUAGUCCAUGCCGUAAACGUUGGGCGCUAGGUGUGGGGCUCAUUCCACGAGUUCUGUGCCGCAGCUAACGCAUUAAGCGCCCCGCCUGGGGGAGUACGG